ACAUAGGGUGCAAGCGUUGUCCGGAAUUAUUGGGCGUAAAGAGCUCGUAGGUGGUUUGUUACGUCGGUUGUGAAAUUCAGGGGCUCAACCCCUGACUUGCAGCCGAUACGGGCAAGCUAGAGUUUGGUAGGGGAGACUGGAAUUCCUGGUGUAGCGGUGGAAUGCGCAGAUAUCAGGAGGAACACCGAUGGCGAAGGCAGGUCUCUGGGCCAAUACUGACACUGAGGAGCGAAAGCGUGGGGAGCGAACAGG
rnacentral:rRNA from 1 species